rnacentral:rRNA from 1 species
AUGGAGGAGGUUUCGAUCCCGAUCCCGAUGGAGAAGGAGGCGGCGCCUGCUGGUGGUGCUGCAUCCCCCGAGAGGUUGAGGCUUAACCCGUAUGAGGGGUAUAUGAUCAAGGAGCAGAGGAUGGUGAGAAUGGACCAUCGGAACAGCUACAUCAGGUGGCUGCUCGAGUGGGACAAGAAGCCUCGCCCUCCCCUGCCCAACCUCCCCGAGACGCUCCGCUCCAUGGUCGCCAUUAAGGCCGAGCGCGCCCACCAUGAGAGGGUCCUUGCCGACUUCAAGCGCGACGUCUACGCCUACGUCCAGAUCGAUGUCUUCAACGACGACGACCCAAGGGCCAACCUCCCCGACGAUCAGUACGACGUCAUCCACCACGACAGCGACGAAGAAGCUUGA